AAAUGACUCUCGGCAACGGAUAUCUCGGCUCUCGCAUCGAUGAAGAACGUAGCGAAAUGCGAUACUUGGUGUGAAUUGCAGAAUCCCGUGAACCAUCGAGUCUUUGAACGCAAGUUGCGCCCGAAGCCAUCCGGCCGAGGGCACGUCUGCCUGGGCGUCACGC
rnacentral:rRNA from 7 species